AACCGCCGAGGCCCCCGCCGCCCUUCUGGACUUUUAUCGAGGCAUGUACACUAAUACGAAAGAGAAUUUGCCAUUUACCUGUAAGAUUGAGGGUGACAACGUAAGAGGAAUGGUUUUAAGUGACGCGUCCGGCUCCUUACUCCCACUGAAGGGUGAAGGUGCCACAGGUGGACCUGGUUUGGAUUCUGAUGUGAAGAAACCGACUUCAAAACAUUUGGGCCAAUCAGGAAAAUGCGAAAACUCUGACUACAAAUUUAAUGAUAUCUAGAAUUAUUGUUAAUAGUUUAAGAUGGAGUCUUGCCCUGUCACCCAGGCUAGAGUGCAGUGGUGCAAUCUCGGCUCACUACAGCCUCCACCUCCAGGGUUCAAGCAAUUCUCAUGCCUCAGCCUCCCAAGUAGCUGGGAUUACAGGUAUGUGCCAUCACACCUGGCUAAUUUUUGUAUUUUUAGUGGAGACAGGGUUUU
rnacentral:lncRNA from 1 species